GAACUCAUUAUGUAACCAGAUGUUCCGCAGGGCGCAGCUUUAUACGACCGCAGAGGUUGAACCCUGAACGGUUGGGGCAAGUAUGGACACAACAUUCAAGCUGGAUUCAGCUCUAAAUUUGGAUUGUGAUUAAAUAGUUGACACAGCAUAGGUUUCUGACACAGAAUGAAUGUGGUCUAAUGAACUUAAAAUAUUUUAUUUGCCUUUGAGCAAUUCACUAUGCUGUUGAAUAUUAAUCCUCUCAAAAAAAUGUUUGAAGAAAUUUUCUUUUUAUUUAUGAAAUCUGAAAUGAGAAAAAUUUACCCCCCCCCAUUUUUUUCACAUCUUCUUUUCCCUUUUUCCAAAACUGAUCUCAGUUCAAAUUUCUAAUGGAGUUUGCAACAAUAACUUCUCAUUUAAAUACAUCAUAAAAUAUUAAAAUGUAAGAUAAAGUGCUUGUUAUCAC
rnacentral:lncRNA from 1 species